rnacentral:rRNA from 1 species
AUGUGACUGUGGAUCGAGCCCAUGUGAAGCCUCUUCGAUGAGUCGAGUUGUUUGGGAAUGCAGCUCAAAAUGGGUGGUAAAUUUCAUCUAAAGCUAAAUACUGGCUGGAGACCGAUAGCGCACAAGUAGAGUGAUCGAAAGAUGAAAAGCACUUUGGAAAGAGAGUCAAACAGUACGUGAAAUUGUUGAAAGGGAAGCGCUUGCAACCAGACCUGUCCGUAGGUGAUCAGCCGCUGUUCUCAGUGGUGCACUCGCUCUGCGAUCAGGCCAGCAUCGGUUCGGGCGGUCGGAUAAAGGCCUUGGGAAUGUAGCUUCCUUCGGGGAGUCUUAUAGCCCUCGGUGCAAUGCGGCCAGCCGGGACCGAGGACCGCGCUUCGGCUAGGAUGCUGGCGUAAUGGUUGUAAGCGACCCGUCUUGAAACACGGACCAAGGAGUCUAACAUCUAUGCGAGUGUUUGGGUGUUAAACCCAUGCGCGGAAUGAAAGUGAACGGAGGUGAGAACCCUUAAGGGCGCAUCAUCGACCGAUCCAGAUGUCUUCGGAUGGAUUUGAGUAUGAGCAUAGCUGUUGGGACCCGAAAGAUGGUGAACUAUGCCUGAAUAGGGUGAAGCCAGAGGAAACUCUGGUGGAGGCUCGCAGCGGUUCUGACGUGCAAAUCGAUCGUCAAAUUUGGGUAUAGGGGCGAAAGACUAAUCGAACCAUCUAGU